GUCGAGGUAGCCUAGCCUGGUUUGGGCGCCUGACUCAUAAUCAGGAGGUCGCGGGAUCAAAGCCCGCCCUCGACACCA
rnacentral:tRNA from 1 species